ACAUCUCAAUACCUGUCUGCUUUUGAUGGGUAUUGGAAAUUGGGGGUUGCAGGGCUUGUAUAGCUUUGCUCUCCUUGAAUGUAUUAGUGGAGAAAAAGAAAGCUCAUUGAACUCCAUUGGUGUGAUAAAAUCUAUCAAUGCCAGGAACAAUGUCCAAGUUUCUCUGCUGUCUAAUCCAUGUCCAGUUUGGACCUCAUUUGACCAAC
rnacentral:misc_RNA from 1 species